rnacentral:rRNA from 1 species
GACGAACGCUGGCGGCGUGCUUAACACAUGCAAGUCGAACGGAAAGGCCCUGCUUUUGUGGGGUGUUCGAGUGGCGAACGGGUGAGUAACACGUGAGUAACCUGCCCUUGACUUUGGGAUAACUUCAGGAAACUGGGGCUAAUACCGGAUAGGAGCUCCUGCUGCAUGGUGGGGGUUGGAAAGUUUCGGCGGUUGGGGAUGGACUCGCGGCUUAUCAGCUUGUUGGUGGGGUAGUGGCUUACCAAGGCUUUGACGGGUAGCCGGCCUGAGAGGGUGACCGGCCACAUUGGGACUGAGAUACGGCCCAGACUCCUACGGGAGGCAGCAGUGGGGAAUAUUGCACAAUGGGCGGAAGCCUGAUGCAGCAACGCCGCGUGCGGGAUGACGGCCUUCGGGUUGUAAACCGCUUUCGCCUGUAACGAAGCGUGAGUGACGGUAAUGGGUAAAGAAGCACCGGCUAACUACGUG